rnacentral:tRNA from 1 species
GCCGGUAUAGCUCAGUUGGUAGAGCAGCUGCCUUGUAAGCAGAAGGUCCUGGGUUCGAAACCUAGUGUCGGCACCA